rnacentral:rRNA from 1 species
UGGGGAAUUUUGGACAAUGGGCGAAAGCCUGAUCCAGCAAUGCCGCGUGUGUGAAGAAGGCCUUCGGGUUGUAAAGCACUUUUGUCCGGAAAGAAAUCCUUGGCUCUAGUACAGUCGGGGGAUGACGGUACCGGAAGAAUAAGCACCGGCUAACUACGUGCCAGCAGCCGCGGUAAUACGUAGGGUGCAAGCGUUAAUCGGAAUUACUGGGCGUAAAGCGUGCGCAGGCGGUUUGCUAAGACCGAUGUGAAAUCCCCGGGCUCAACCUGGGAACUGCAUUGGUGACUGGCAGGCUAGAGUAUGGCAGAGGGGGGUAGAAUUCCACGUGUAGCAGUGAAAUGCGUAGAGAUGUGGAGGAAUACCGAUGGCGAAGGCAGCCCCCUGGGCCAAUACUGACGCUCAUGCACGAAAGCGUGGGGGAGCAAAACAGGAUUAGAUACCCCUGGUAGUCCACGCCCUAAACGAUGUCAACUAGUUGUUGGGGAUUCAUUUCCUUAGUAACGUAGCUAACGCGUGAAGUUGACCGCCUGGGGAGUACGGUCGCAAGAUUAAAACUCAAAUGAAUUGACGGGGUCAUAGCUGUUUCCU